CCCACGCCCUCUCUCUUAUUCAAUGCCAAUCUCCACUUAUUUUGUGUGACAAAAGCCCUCUCCCAGGUUUCUCCCACGUUCACAAAAGGUUUCCUCUCUUCUUUCUUACAUGGAAGGUAGUUUGGAUCAAAUCAAAAAGGAAUAAGUUUGGAUUUCGAAUUCUAUGAGAUAGAGUUUUAGAAAUCCAAAACUCUUUCAAUUUUGCACCGAAUUUAUCCAAAUUUUUUUUAGAAUUUUUAUGGCUUUUAGGGUAC
rnacentral:lncRNA from 1 species